rnacentral:tRNA from 1 species
GGGCUCGUAGUUCAGUUGGCUAGAACAUCGCAUUUGCAAUGCGAAGGUCACCGGUUCGAUCCCGGUCGAGUCCA